UACGAAGGGGGCUAGCGUUGCUCGGAAUUACUGGGCGUAAAGCGCACGUAGGCGGCUUUCUAAGUCGGGGGUGAAAUCCUGGAGCUCAACUCCAGAACUGCCUUCGAUACUGGAGAGCUCGAGUCCGGGAGAGGUGAGUGGAACUGCGAGUGUAGAGGUGAAAUUCGUAGAUAUUCGGAAGAACACCAGUGGCGAAGGCGGCUCACUGGCCCGUUACCGACGCUCAGGCGCGACAGCGUGGGGAGCAAACAGG
rnacentral:rRNA from 1 species